GCUCCGUUGGUCUAGUGGUAUGAUUCUCGCUUAGGGUUCACCCUGAGUACUCAGCCUUUGUCUGCGAGAGGUCCCGUGUUCGAACCACGGAUGGAGCC